rnacentral:lncRNA from 1 species
UCCAUUCUUGUGAUGAGGACAAUGUUCAGUAACAAGGAUAGAACUUUACACGUUCUUUAAUUAUUACCUAAGUUUGAUGAAGGUAUUUAUCAAAUAGUGUCAAUCUAAAGGAUUACACAUUUAGGAAUCACCUAUGUAAGUGCGAAGUAGAAGCCGCUUCAAUGAGAAUUCUGUAAGGCCAAUUCUCUACGCACUUAUGAAUCCAGGCAAUGUUCAUGGGUAAAACGAACACAACAAUGAGAACCAAAAGACGGUUAACGGUUGGUUGUGUGACAUAUGAUUGUCUAGGUAUACACUAAAGUUCGACAGUUCAAAGAUAUCAAAUCUACCAAUUGACCGAGUAUAUCCGACAUAUGUUCACUACGAAAAGUUCA